rnacentral:lncRNA from 1 species
CGAAUUGUUGCUUUUGGACUUGACAGCUACCAGGAAUAUGAAAUAUUUGAGCCCUUCAGUCGAUCCCCGUACUCUGGCAGCCCUUUUUUUUUUCCUUUCAUGUCCCAGCUAGGGGGCUCCCGCAGCCGACGGGCCCCUCACGCACUCGGGCUCACAGCGCGCCAGGCCUCGUAGAUCAAAGAGACUUCGAGAGAAAGGUUUCCUUCUUUAAGGAUUGUUCGGAAAAUCUUGGAAGCGGGGAUCAUUCCGCCUCCGCCCUCGCCCCGGGCUGCAGGGUUGCACAGGGGAGAGCUUUUGGGAAGGUAGAGAGAGAGAGGGCUUGAGAGAAAGGAGAACAAAAAUAAAAAUAGAAAAGAAAGAGAAGAAGAAAGGAGAGAAAAAAAAAAUGAGAAGGAAAAAAAAAAGACAGAAAGAAAGAAAGAAAAGAAGAGUUGCUUGAAGUUCAUCAACCGCGUGCACGGGGAGCGCACGCAACGCACAGAGCCGCGGGGCUGCGUGUCCCGGUGGGCAGCACCCAGGGUGUGGGGGGCCGGGGGUCCCACCCGGGGGUCCCACUCCGGGGCUUUCCUGCGGGACCUGGGGAGCCCGUGGGGGGAGCGCACAGGUGGUGAGUGCUGCUGCCAGGCCGUGCCCGUGCGCCGUGGAUGAUGGAUGGACGGAUGGAUCAGUUUGUUGUCUCGGGGAAGGAUAAAUGAGUUGUGGCCGUUUCCUCGAGGCUCCAGCAGAACGGAGAGGGAGGGAGGGAGCAGAGGUUGCUCCCUGCGGGCACGUCGCUGCUGGCCGCUCGCCACCGCUCCUCGGGUCGGGCCGCAACCGAGGGGGGCCGGGAGCUCCGGGGGCACCGGGCCGGGAGGAUCCGUGAUGGAAACUUCGGGAACACCGGGGUUGGAUUGAACCGUGGGGAAACGGAGCAGGAAAAAUCGAAAACUCCUUUUUUGCGGCUUCUUGUAACGAAACCCCGAGCCCUCAGCCCCUCGCACACCGCACUAAAGCAAACAGACACGCACGGGGACAUUCCAAGCCGUGUCCUGGAGGCUGGCAGCGCGUUAUCUCUCUGACCCGCCGACCUCUCCCUGCAGCCAGACCCCUCUCACAUCCCCCGAGCCUUCACAUAGCGGCCGUUUCCACCUGAAGCUUUCUGACUCCGAACAGAAGAGAAAAGCCGAUAGCACCCGAAUAAGCUCGUGGGGUUACUUUGGGGUUUUUGUUGGUUUUUCUUUUUUCUUCAUCUUCUUUUCUUUUUUUUUUUUCUUUCUUUCCAGCUUGCCCUAUACUUCCCACGUGCUUCUCCAAAACCCCGCAUUAUUAGCGAACAAUUAAGGCGUGUAAAAACACGGCGAGGCGAAGCCCUCAGCUUGAAGUGGCCGUUUAGGGCGUUCGUGUAACUCCCGGCUCCGGCUGCUCGUCGGGGGCCGCAAUGGGUCCCCCCCGAGGGCACGGCGGCUGUGCGGGCUGCUCCGGGCUCAGCUCCCGGGGCUGCUCCUCCUUCGGCUUUUCCCUUUGCUAACCUUUCAUUUAUUUAUUUUAAUUAUCGAACAAUUCUGGAGAAGGUGCUACUUUUUUCUCCUUUUUUUUCUUCCCUCCCCCUCCUUAUUUUUUCUUUCUUUUUUUUUUUUCCUUUCAUUCUUUCAUUUAUUUAUUUAUUGUUGUUCACUCUCGGCCGGAGUAGCUCACCACAGCUCACCGGGGCAGUAAUUCCUGCUGAACUUCAUGUUGUUCUCUCUAGAGUUAGCUUUCCACCACUCAUCCAGCCAAAACUCUUUCUAGCGAAGGACCUUAUUUAACUCAGCAUUGAAACAAACAAACAAACGAACAGCCAACAACAAAACCAAAAACCGAACAACCACCAACAAUCCAACCGCUCGCAUCGGGCUGGGCUGUGCCGACCCUGUCGAGCUCUAACGCAGCCGGGGAGCCCCCACCUCACGGGCACCCCGAUCCCUCCCUGCCCGGCAGCCCCCUCUCCCCCCGGCUUCUCUCCUUUCCGAAGUCCUUCCCAACUUUACUUCCACGUGAGCCUCCAGAGCAAAAUAGAAUGAGCAGGGAAACAAACCCGACAGAAAAAGGCAGCGGUGCUUUUUCCCAUGGACUUUCUCCAUGGAAAAGGAACGCGGCCCGAGGCGAAGCAGCGCCCUGUCCCGGUUGAGCCCCGGCGGCAGCGCGGCCAGCGAGGGCUCCUCCGAAAACGUGUCGCGUUCGGUAGGACGAAAAGUGGGCUUCGCUUUGCAGCGCGAAGCGGCGCCUCGGGCCGGUAGAGACUUUCUUUAAUAAACCGAGCGAUUUUAGUUUUUUUUGUUUUUGUUUUUGCUUUGUUUUGUUUUCAAUUUUUCUUAACAAUUACGAGAGAAAAAUAAUAAAAAAAAAAAAAAAUAAAUGAAGAACCCCAAAGGGUGGGAGCAGCCGGAGGACCCCACCGUGUGCUGGCAGCGGAGCGGGCACGGAGCAGCUCCCGGCAGCCGCAUUUCUGCCAUCGCGCUCAUACCGCCUCCGGAGCUCCGAGUGGCUUUAUUUAGCUGUACUUCUCACUGCACGGAGCGCGCAUAUAGCGCUGAGCAGCUCUAAUACGUUUCAAAUACUUCUGCAGUCCAAAUCCACGUACGUGUACGUAUGGCGCUACAUAAAGC